rnacentral:rRNA from 1 species
UACGUAGGUGGCAAGCAUUAUCCGGAUUUACUGGGCGUAAAGGGAGCGUAGGCGGACUUUUAAGUGAGAUGUGAAAUACCCGAGCUCAACUUGGGUGCUGCAUUUCAAACUGGAAGUCUAGAGUGCAGGAGAGGAGAAGGGAAUUCCUAGUGUAGCGGUGAAAUGCGUAGAGAUUAGGAAGAACACCAGUGGCGAAGGCGCUUCUCUGGACUGUAACUGACGCUGAGGCACGAAAGCGUGGGGAGCGAACAGG